rnacentral:rRNA from 1 species
GGCCUUGACAUACUAAGAACUUUCCAGAGAUGGAUUGGUGCCUUCGGGAACUUAGGGUACAGGUGCUGCAUGGCUGUCGUCAGCUCGUGUCGUGAGAUGUUGGGUUAAGUCCCGNAACGAGCGCAACCCUUUUCCUUAUUUGCCAGCGGGUCAUGCCGGGAACUUUAAGGAUACUGCCAGUGACAAACUGGAGGAAGGCGGGGACGACGUCAAGUCAUCAUGGCCCUUACGGCCAGGGCUACACACGUGCUACAAUGGUCGGUACAAAGGGUUGCUACCUCGCGAGAGGAUGCUAAUCUCAAAAAAGCCGAUCGUAGUCCGGAUCGCAGUCUGCAACUCGACUGCGUGAAGUCGGAAUCGCUAGUAAUCGCGGAUCAGAAUGCCGCGGUGAAUACGUUCCCGGGCCUUGUACACACCGCCCGUCACACCAUGGGAGUUUGUUGCACCAGAAGUAGGUAGUCUAACCGCAAGGAGGACGCUUACCACGGUGUGGCCGAUGACUGGGGUGAAGUCGUAACAAGGUAGGCGUAGAUGA